AGCGAACGCUGGCGGCAGGCCUAACACAUGCAAGUCGAACGAACCCUUCGGGGUUAGUGGCGGACGGGUGCGUAACACGUGGGAACGUGCCUUUAGGUUCGGAAUAACUCAGGGAAACUUGUGCUAAUACCGAAUGUGCCCUUCGGGGGAAAGAUUUAUCGCCUUUAGAGCGGCCCGCGUCUGAUUAGCUAGUUGGUGAGGUAAUGGCUCACCAAGGCUACGAUCAGUAGCUGGUCUGAGAGGAUGACCAGCCACAUUGGGACUGAGACACGGCCCAAACUCCUACGGGAGGCAGCAGUGGGGAAUCUUGCGCAAUGGGCGAAAGCCUGACGCAGCCAUGCCGCGUGGAUGAUGAAGGUCUUAGGAUUGUAAAAUCCUUUCACCGGUGAAGAUAAUGACUGUAGCCGGAGAAGAAGCCCCGGCUAACCUCGUGCCAGCCGCCGCAGUAACAC
rnacentral:rRNA from 1 species